rnacentral:rRNA from 1 species
AUAGCGUAUAUUAAAGUUGUUGCAGUUAAAAAGCUCGUAGUUGAAUUUUGGGUUUGGCCGAUUGGUCCGUUCUUGUAGCGAGUACUGGUCGGUUGGGCCUCACCGCUUGGGGAAGCGUAAUGUCCUUUAUUGGGUGUUGCGAAUAUCCAAGACCUUUACCUUGAAAAAAUUAGAGUGUUUAAAGCAGGCAUAUGCCAGAAUACAUUAGCAUGGAAUAAUAGAAUAGGACAAUGAUUCUAUUUUGUUGGUUUCUAGGACCGUUGUAAUGAUUAAUAGGGAUAGUUGGGGGCAUUAGUAUUCAAUUGUCAGAGGUGAAAUUCUUGGAUUUAUUGAAGACUAACUACUG